rnacentral:lncRNA from 1 species
UCCAACUUCUAUUCAUACAAUUCAACGGCGAAGUGAGCACUAAACAAAAGCAGAUUGACCAGUCGUAUCCCGCUGCCUAAGUCACGGCUUUUUCCAGAGAUCUUUGUUUCCAAGCAAACAAAGCCUGCGCGUGUAACCCUGCACUUAAACCCGGCGUCUGUCUUCUCUUUCCUUGCGCUAUUCGGGCGAUGGUGACAUGAGUGGCUAAAUUGAAAUGCUUUCCGUUCUCAACUGCGCCAUAGAGCUGCAAGUCGAUUUAAGUCGUAGCCUUUCCCAUCAGUCUUGUGCGAGACAUUUGCUCUGUGAGUUCUCCUGCCUCGUUAGCUCACAGAACCGCGCGGUGGAAGCAGAUCUUCCAGAGGGAAUAAACAAGAACAUCGGCUAUUUUCUUGCACCGUUCUGCUUUGGCCCCGCAAGUCCUUGAUCUCCAACGACUUUUACCUAACCUUCGUAUGUCUAACAGAAGUACCAGUAUUAGUACGCAGUUGAAGUAGCAUUGAUGAAUAGUAGGCCGCAUUAAGUUGGGCCCGGAUAUUUUCGACUCUUAGACGCAUUCGCCACUAGCCUUCGUAAGCGCGUCUUUGAGCAACGCGAUCUUCUGUUUUGUGUUCGAAUUGCGAGCCGGCGGAGUUACGAAUUCGAAUGUAAGACACGUUUAUCUUUUUUCUCACUAAUGAUUUGUUGAGCUGCCGCUCUUGUCUCUGUUGUUUUCGGGGCAGGUUUCUGCAGAUUUUUUUUUAUCUAUAGAUUUUCGCUUACUUUCGUGUGCUCUCUCAUAUCUGAUUUUGUUUCUUUAUGUCGGCCUCUGUUUUCUCCCAAUUUCAAAACGCCGAUGCCCCGCGGGGCAGCAUUAAGCAACGUCGACAACCGCAGCUGCAGAAAGCCAGCAUACGGCACAGGCCUCGCCUAUACAAUAUGCCCCGACGCCCGCCUGGUUGCUUGCUUAUAGAAAUGCCGAUUACCAGUUCACUUACUCGUGGUAGCUCUCCCCAUAGCAGAAAGUCACCUGACCAACUGUAACUUCAGCGUCCUGGUGGCCUCAACUUAAACCGACCCACAAAGCGCUCACAUUACGUACAAAAAAACGUAACAUUGCAACCAGAUGCCAAGGAGUAGUUCCCGUCGUCCUCGGAACACACGCAGGAACACGAGCUGACCGCACAGCGAGAAUGCUUCAACACAGACUCACAGCGACCUUCACAGAAAUCAGCCGAGGGCACGUUGAAAGGCGUCUACGAGUCGGGCUUAGCCGUAGCUCUAUAGCUAGAGUUGAUUGGCGCAUUGCCAAAAGGACGACAGCUGCGGCUGUAGUGACCUCGGCAGAAUGGGGAUUUCGUAACCGUUCAACAGUCAGCGACACAGAACGAUACAACCCGGAGACUAUCAUUGGUAGAGGAUGUCGACCAGUUGCCAUUGGUUCGUAGUGCCAGUCAGCGAAAAGGAUACUCCUAGGCCGCAGGAUGUAGGGACGCGUGCGAGUGGCGUACUGCUUCUUGUCCAAUAGAAGUUGGAGCUGCCGAAGAUUUCCAAACAAGCCCGUAAGAUAGGACGACUAUACGAGCGCACAACUCGAAGCGAACGUUGUCCGAAUACGUGGAACGGGAUCUUUCAAAAUACAUGUCGUAGAACCGGGAUUUAUAAACUGUGUUUCGCUGAUUCGUCUAUCUAGAGAACGUGGUCAUCAUAGCUUUCGACUGUAGCAUGGAAAAAGCAUCCUGAAGUACAGCUAAGACGAAUUCGUUUCAGGAGAUCUCGAAUCAUUCACGAACGAGUUUGGUCAUGGAACUAAAUGGCAGCUAAAAGUUCGUAAGGUACGAGUUAAACGAAUCCUCGAUGUCAUAAAUGAGUCUCGUGGCAGGCGCCCUCGGUCAAAUGAAUGAGGUAAACAAUUUGGACAAAUGGGUAUCGCAUCACUUGAGCGGAAAUGAAAAAUAUAUAGAUCUUUUUACUCACAACAGUGACCCAGAAAACGAAUCCUCUGUGGUAAUCUUGGAGGGUCACAUCAGUCGAAAGCAGAAGUACGGCUGUAUGUUUAACGGACUAAUGCAGGUGUUAUUUAUCCGCUACAGCUGAUAGAGAGGGAGAAAGCUUUCUCGUAUCCUAGACAUCUGUACUAAACUAGAUAAUGUAAGUUGCCAUCCACAUGCCAGAAGAUCAAUGCUACAUCCUUUUAUCCGCAAUGAAAGAAAUUAAAAAAGUUCAAGAUUAAGUUUCCUAUUAAACAACUGGUUAUAUGCUGUCAUUUUUACUGCCGAACAACUCUUUCAAUAUUUUACAUAGUUUUUCAGGGAUCUCUGCAAGUAGCAAAGAUGAACUUUGAACUUCUCAAAACAAAUACACUGGACUACUUUCCAAAACCUCUAUCCGAAUACUUCAAGCGUAAGUAUUGCCCUUCUGUGAACGCAGCUAAUAUUGUUAUUGUUAUGGGGCAGUCAGUGGCCUAACGGAAAGCUAACCUCGGAAGGUAGCUAAUUCGGAGUCCUUUACACAUAAUAGAUAGUGCGUGAGUCAAUAAAUUGAGAUUUAUUAAUGUAAGCUCUGUUGUGAUCAGGUAGAGUCAAAAUGGUAGUUGAGCUAAAAGGGAAGGACUCUCGGAGAUACCUUUGCUGUCAUUUGGCCGUUUCCCACAUUACAGAACUGAAAAAUCCACAUGUAACCGAUAGGACACACAUAAAAAAUAGCUCUUACUAGUUAAAUUACUUAUGCGAACAGCCAUAUUAGUUUAUUACAUUGAUAGACGAGAACAUUGGAGACUUCUAAAAACCUAUACGAUGCAAAAUAAACUCAAUAUGAUGUAGAAUCCCAAAAAACUUCCACGCCACCUAACGGGUCAUAGCUUUCCCGAUUCUUCCUUUCCUUUAGAGUGCAAUUAAUUGGAAAUAGUAUGUACAGCCAGUCCAACAAGGAUAAUUUCUUUUAAAAUGCUGUUAGAAGUAUAAAAAUGCAGAAGUUUCAGGCAGAUCUAUCUAUGCGACUUGAAGCUAGUUAAAUAAGAGAUAAGCAAUGUUUAAAGCGAAUGGAACCGUUCACGAGGUUCAUAUACAACGGUUUGGAAGACCGAAAAAAUGAACGAGCUUCACCAGCCAAGAAAGAUCACAGAAAAAAGUAUGGUAAAAAAACGCCUAAAAAAAUAAUAUCUCUAAGGCAAUCAAGUCGCGAGAGCGCGGAAUCAACAAAUGAGGCGUCCAUCACAUCUUAAAAGGCCGUAAAUUUUAAAGCUCUAUUUCAACAGUGGCUUAUGCUAUAAAGGAAGAUAAUCCGGGCCGCUGAUUUCGCCAGCAGUUCUUAAAGAUAUGUGAACAGGAUGCAUAGUACUCAGUGAGGAUUGUUCGGACUAUGCAGUCAUAUUUAAAUUAAAAGGCACAAUUAUUCUAUACAUCUGCGCUUAUUAAUAAACUGUAAUUCUACAUGUUGCGUGACAACACCGCCUAAACUUACCAGAAGUUAGAAUAUGCUGCGGCAUUUCGAGCAAAGGAUUGAUUGGAUCAGUAUUUUUCAUAAUACAGUGACUGGUUCUUUCUACUUGAAGUUACUGCAAAAAUUUUUUUUGGUAAAAAAUGUAUAUAUAUAUAUAUAUAUAUAAGGAAUUUUAGGGAAGAUGGCGAACUAAAAUUCCAACUCGAUAGGAUACCUGCAGACAGCCAUCGUCACGUAGGAUCAUAUCUCGACGUAAGUACUCCGAAUACCGAUUUCAUAAACUACCCUUGCUAGUUCCGGGAUAUCUGAUCAAUGAAUCUAUGUCUGAUCAAUGAAAUCUACAGCAAUCGAGUCAGAGUACGCCGCAAUCGUGGAUGCUCUGAAUAAUAUUGGCAAUGUAUAGACUAGAAUGUUAUACAUAUCAUAU